GCAAGCGCCAUGACAUGAUAAUCAGCCAGCCGACUCUCUCUGCACGUCACAGUCCCAAGAAGCGCCGACACACUUCCUUUAGCCUACAGUCUGCCUCAGCGUUUCACACCGCUAGCAUCACCACCAAUAUUUCCAUCUGCGCCUAUCAAGAUCACAAUGGCAGUCGUUCGAGUUGGCGGGAUUGUUUGCGUCUUCAUAUUGUUAUCGUCAACGGGCAAAGCAGACAUAAAUGCUGAAUGCACCCAACUGCAACACCGAGCCUUGGUAGAAAUGUUCAGAACUCUUCCAGAAACGUACGUCCUUGCGGUGGGCUUGGGAAACAUCACUUUAUUUCCAGGAGUUCGAUUCAACCACGCUCUUUUGACUGAACUGGAUAGUUUGGUAAGGGGGCAGCUGAGAGCAUGCGUUCGACAGCGUAAGGUCGGCAACCUGAUAAGAUUUAAAG
rnacentral:lncRNA from 1 species